rnacentral:rRNA from 1 species
GAUGAACGCUGGCGGCGUGCCUAAUACAUGCAAGUCGAGCGAACUGAUUAGAAGCUUGCUUCUAUGACGUUAGCGGCGGACGGGUGAGUAACACGUGGGCAACCUGCCUGUAAGACUGGGAUAACUUCGGGAAAACGAAGCUAAUACCGGAUAGGAUCUUCUCCUUCAUGGCAGAUGAUUGAAAGAUGGUUUCGGCUAUCCCUUACAGAUGGGCCCGCGGUGCAUUAGUUAGUUGGGGAGGUAACGGCUCACCAAGGCAACGAUGCAUAGCCGACCUGAGCGGGUGAUCGGCCACUGGGACUGAGACACGGCCCAGACGCCUACGGGAGGCAGCAGUAGGGAAUCUUCCGCAAUGGACGAAAGUCUGACGGAGCAACGCCGCGUGAGUGAUGAAGGCUUUCGGGUCGUAAAACUCUGUUGUUAGGGAAGAACAAGUACAAGAGUAACUGCUUGUACCUUGACGGUACCUAACCAGAAAGCCACGGCUAACUACGUGCCAGCCGCCGCCGUAA